rnacentral:rRNA from 2 species
UCCGUAGGUGAACCUGCGGAAGGAUCAUUAGUGAAACAUAAGAGUGCUCUUUAUUGAGGCUCGUUUUAACUAUCCAUUACACUUUGUGCAUUUGAACUACUUACUUGGAAACAUGUGGGCUUCGGUCUCUUGUUUUGCUAUCAAGUAAAUUUUACAUAACCCCAAUUGCUUUAUAUGAGAUGAUGAUGUUACAUAUUUGAAAAAUGAAAGAAACAACUUUCAGCAACGGAUGUCUUGGCUCUCGCAUCGAUGAAGAACGCAGCGAAAUGCGAUACGUAAUGUGAAUUGCAGAACUCAGUGAAUCAUCGAAUUUUUGAACGCACCUUGCGCUCUUUAGUUAUUCUGAAGAGCAUGCUUGUUUGAGUGUCGCGAACCUCUCAACCCCGCCAAAGGCUUUAUUGACUUUGUGUAGUUUGGGCUUGGAUCAUGGUCUUUUGUCGUUGCCUUUCGGGGCUUGUGACUGGACUGAAAUACAACAAGUUGAAUGGUUUCAUUUGCAGCUUGACCUGAUGUUGUAAACUACUCAUCGGGGAUGCGAAUGUGAUUAAAGGAACUUUAACAGAACACCCUUAAAUGGUACCUAGUACAUUUAUGACCUCAAAUCAAGUAGGACUACCCGCUGAACUUAAGCAUAUCAAUAAGCGGAGGA